CAGUCGUACGCUUCUUUUUCCCCGGAGCUUGCUCCACCGGAAAAAGAAGAGUGGCGAACGGGUGAGUAACACGUGGGUAACCUGCCCAUCAGAAGGGGAUAACACUUGGAAACAGGUGCUAAUACCGUAUAACAAUCGAAACCGCAUGGUUUUGAUUUGAAAGGCGCUUUCGGGUGUCGCUGAUGGAUGGACCCGCGGUGCAUUAGCUAGUUGGUGAGGUAACGGCUCACCAAGGCUACGAUGCAUAGCCGACCUGAGAGGGUGAUCGGCCACAUUGGGACUGAGACACGGCCCAAACUCCUACGGGAGGCAGCAGUAGGGAAUCUUCGGCAAUGGACGAAAGUCUGACCGAGCAACGCCGCGUGAGUGAAGAAGGUUUUCGGAUCGUAAAACUCUGUUGUUAGAGAAGAACAAGGAUGAGAGUAACUGUUCAUCCCUUGACGGUAUCUAACCAGAAAGCCACGGCUAACUACGUGCCAGCAGCCGCGGUAAUACGUAGGUGGCAAGCGUUGUCCGGAUUUAUUGGGCGUAAAGCGAGCGCAGGCGGUUUCUUAAGUCUGAUGUGAAAGCCCCCGGCUCAACCGGGGAGGGUCAUUGGAAACUGGGAGACUUGAGUGCAGAAGAGGAGAGUGGAAUUCCAUGUGUAGCGGUGAAAUGCGUAGAUAUAUGGAGGAACACCAGUGGCGAAGGCGGCUCUCUGGUCUGUAACUGACGCUGAGGCUCGAAAGCGUGGGGAGCAAACAGGAUUAGAUACCCUGGUAGUCCACGCCGUAAACGAUGAGUGCUAAGUGUUGGAGGGUUUCCGCCCUUCAGUGCUGCAGCUAACGCAUUAAGCACUCCGCCUGGGGAGUACGACCGCAAGGUUGAAACUCAAAGGAAUUGACGGGGGCCCGCACAAGCGGUGGAGCAUGUGGUUUAAUUCGAAGCAACGCGAAGAACCUUACCAGGUCUUGACAUCCUUUGACCACUCUAGAGAUAGAGCUUCCCCUUCGGGGGCAAAGUGACAGGUGGUGCAUGGUUGUCGUCAGCUCGUGUCGUGAGAUGUUGGGUUAAGUCCCGCAACGAGCGCAACCCUUAUUGUUAGUUGCCAUCAUUCAGUUGGGCACUCUAGCAAGACUGCCGGUGACAAACCGGAGGAAGGUGGGGAUGACGUCAAAUCAUCAUGCCCCUUAUGACCUGGGCUACACACGUGCUACAAUGGGAAGUACAACGAGUCGCGAAGUCGCGAGGCUAAGCUAAUCUCUUAAAGCUUCUCUCAGUUCGGAUUGUAGGCUGCAACUCGCCUACAUGAAGCCGGAAUCGCUAGUAAUCGCGGAUCAGCACGCCGCGGUGAAUACGUUCCCGGGCCUUGUACACACCGCCCGUCACACCACGAGAGUUUGUAACACCCGAAGUCGGUGAGGUAACCUU
rnacentral:rRNA from 1 species